rnacentral:rRNA from 1 species
CCUACGGGUGGCUGCAGUGAGGAAUAUUGGUCAAUGGGCUUACGCCUGAACCAGCCAAGUCGCGUGAGGGAAGACUGCCCUAUGGGUUGUAAACCUCUUUUGUCAGGGAGCAACGCCGGCUACGUGUAGCCGGACUGAGAGUACCUGAAGAAAAAGCAUCGGCUAACUCCGUGCCAGCAGCCGCGGUAAUACGGAGGAUGCGAGCGUUAUCCGGAUUUAUUGGGUUUAAAGGGUGCGUAGGCGGAAUGCCAAGUCAGCGGUAAAAUCGCGGGGCUCAACCGUAAAAUUGCAGUUGAAACUGGCAGUCUUGAGUACAGUAGAGGUGGGCGGAAUUCGUGGUGUAGCGGUGAAAUGCUUAGAUAUCACGAAGAACUCCGAUUGCGAAGGCAGUUCACUGGACUGCAACUGACACUGAGGCUCGAAAGUGUGGGUAUCAAACAGGAUUAGAUACCCGUGUAGUC